AGGUGAAAUGGAUCAGAGUAUUGUACUCUGAGUUUUCCAAGUUCUCCAGGGACCAAGAACAUUUAAUGUCAUCUGAGAAUUCUUUCGACUAUAUUGAAGGAUUUGUAAUUAUAAAUAGAACUAGUUUCCAUGACAAGCAUAAGCAAGAUAGAUAAUUAGUAUACCAUUUGAUAUUGCUGUCGCUCAUGUUGAAAAUUUGAAGUAUGCAAAUGUUGCAAAAAGGACUUAUGGCAUUAAUCUCACAGUAGGUGAUUUUAAGCGUGUCAUACAGAGAGCUAUCUGUAUCUAAUUUCUGUCAUUUCAUUGGGCAAAGAGGAAACGACUAUUUGUUUAUAUUACAAACAAGAAAAACAAAAUUAAAUAAGAAAACAGUAAUACCAAUCCUAAAAAGUUCUUUUAAUGCUAGAAACAGGACAGAGUAAUAUAGACAAUGCACCCACCUUGAUCAGAAGUACAGAACAGAGUGAAAGAAUAAAAUCACUAAGAUGAUAAUGGAUGAUAAGUUGUUCUUGCCUUUACAAUGUGCUGAUAUAUGACAUGAUACCAAAGAGGAUGCUAAUAUUAGCCACUGCAAAAUCUUACUAUUUUCUAACCAUCUGCUUAUAUUACUACCUAUCUCACUGAUUUUCCUUCUCAAGUUCUAUAUUUCCUAGCAGCUAUUGACCGAAGGGAACAUUCUUCACAUGCUAACCACCAAAUAUACAGAACAAGAUGGAUGAAGGUCAUCUAUCAUGUCUCAAACUAGAUAUCCAAAAGAAAAAAAAAAUGUCAAUUUUCAAAUG
rnacentral:misc_RNA from 1 species